GACGAACGCUGGCGGCGUGCUUAACACAUGCAAGUCGAACGGUAAGGCCCUUCGGGGUACACGAGUGGCGAACGGGUGAGUAACACGUGGGUGAUCUGCCCUGCACUUCGGGAUAAGCCUGGGAAACUGGGUCUAAUACCGGAUAGGACCAAUGCCUGCAUGGGUGGUGGGGGAAAGCUUUUGCGGUGUGGGAUGGGCCCGCGGCCUAUCAGCUUGUUGGUGGGGUGAUGGCCUACCAAGGCGACGACGGGUAGCCGGCCUGAGAGGGUGACCGGCCACACUGGGACUGAGAUACGGCCCAGACUCCUACGGGAGGCAGCAGUGGGGAAUAUUGCACAAUGGGCGCAAGCCUGAUGCAGCGACGCCGCGUGAGGGAUGACGGCCUUCGGGUUGUAAACCUCUUUCAGCACCGACGAAGCGCAAGUGACGGUAGGUGCAGAAGAAGGACCGGCCAACUACGUGCCAGCCGCCGCGGUAA
rnacentral:rRNA from 1 species